rnacentral:rRNA from 1 species
AUUGAACGCUGGCGGCAGGCCUAACACAUGCAAGUCGAACGUGUGGCGGACGGGUGUGUAAUGUCUGGGACACUGCCUGAUGGUGGGGGAUAACUACUGGAAACGGUAGCUAAUACCGCAUACCAUCAGAUGUGCCCAGAUGGGAUUAGCUAGUUGGUGGGGUAACGGGUCACCAAGGCGACUAUCCCUAGCUGGUCUGAGAGGAUGACCGGCCCCACUGGAACAUGGACACGGUCCAGACUCCAACGGAAGGCAGCAGUGGGGAAUAUUGCAAAAUGGGCGCAAGCCGGAUACAGCAAUGCCGGGUGUAUGAGGAGGGCCUUCGGGUUGAAAAGUACUUUCAGCGGGGAGGCGUUACCCGCAGAAGAAGCACCGGCUAACUCCGUGCCAGCGGCCGCGGUAAUAC